UACGGAGGGGGCUAGCGUUGUUCGGAAUUACUGGGCGUAAAGCGCGCGUAGGCGGAUCUGCAAGUCGGGGGUGAAAUCCCGAGGCUCAACCUCGGAACUGCCUUCGAUACUGCGGGUCUCGAGUCCGGGAGAGGUGAGUGGAAUUCCUAGUGUAGAGGUGAAAUUCGUAGAUAUUAGGAAGAACACCAGUGGCGAAGGCGGCUCACUGGGCCCGGUACUGACGCUGAGGCGCGAAAGCGUGGGGAGCAAACAGG
rnacentral:rRNA from 1 species